rnacentral:tRNA from 1 species
GAGUGUAUAGCUCAGUGGUAAAAUGCAUGCUUAGCAUGCAUGAUGAGGUCCUGGGUUCCAUCCCCAGUACCUCCA